GCUAUAACAAAUAUUUAGAAAAGAGUUAAUUACAACCUUACACAAACUCUUUAAGAGAAAGGGAAAUCGUCUCUUAAUGGUUUUGUGAAGUGUGAUAAACUGAAUUCUAAGAUGUCUUCCCAAAGAUCCCAUGCUCCAAUACCAGAAGAGGUGAGAUGUACUUAAGGUUACUCAUUACUUGACCUUAAAAUGGUGACACUAUUUUUAUUAUUAACAUGGGCCCAUAAAAUCACAAGAGCCCUUAAAGUAGAAGAGGAGGUCAGAGGAUGCAGCAGGAGAGGAGGUCAGAUGACAAAGCAGCAGAGGAGGUCAGAGGAUGCAGCAGGAGAGGAGGUCAGAGGAUGCAGCAGCAAAGGAGGUCAGAGGAUGCAGCAGCAGAGGAGGUCAGAGGAUGCAGCAGCAGAGGAGGUCAGAGGAUGCAGCAGGAGAGGAGGUCAGAGGAUGGUUUGAAGCCCUGGAAGGAUUCAGGGAGCAGCUGCUGGCUUUGAAGAUGGAGGGGCUGUGGGAGAAGCAAGCUGGCAGCCUCCAGACUCUGAGAAUGGCGCCUGGCCCACCCCUACUGCCCAUGAGAAGACAGAGUCUUUAGUCCUACAACUGCCUGAGGAGGAAAUGAAAUGUACAACCACCUGCAUUAGCCUGAGAGUGGAUUCUAUUCCAGAGCCUCCAUAUAUAAGCCCUGGC
rnacentral:lncRNA from 1 species